CACGCCCCUCCCCGCGCCGCAGCGGCCGCGGGCUUUGUGCGCUCAGGCCGCGCGCAGCGCUGCACCUGCCCGGCUUUAAGUACCUUGGCGAGGCGGCGCGGGCGGCUGUUCUAAUCGCCAUCUCCAAAGUACCUGCUCAUGAAUAAACACCAGCGCCAUUUAUCAGUAGGGCUCUACACCUGGGUCUGACCGUUAAGGCGUGGGCGUGCAGGACCGAGACUAUAAGGAUCGGGACAACUCAAUUUGUGAAACCGUGGCCAGUACAAGGAAAAGUGGCUCUUCCGGGGCCGGUCCGAAUGGUAGCUUCCGGCCCACGCAGCUAAGGUUUCUCCGUGGAGGAAGAGAAGGGGUGGCCGGCCUAGCCCACACAAAUAUAGCAGCUCCACAGAGGGUAUAAAAGCCAGGGAAGCUGAGAGAAAUCUCCUUUUUGCGGACCUGAAACCCAGAGGUCAUUUCAGGGAGAGAAAUCCCGAGGCCCCACUGUCUUCCCUGACCCAGCAAGAUUGCGCCUUCAGGAGCCUGAGUUGGCACAGCAAGGCCCCUCAGUCUGCGGAUCCCAAGUGGUGCUCCCUAACUCCAGAAGAAGGAAUCCUGCUGAGCUCCAAAUAAGAAAAUCAGUUCGGACGCAUCAAGGGAAAUUAGAUUUGGUUAGGGUGGCAGGGACCCCGGGGACAGGAGAGAACGGAGCUCUGUGCUACUCCAUCCGGGAGAAACUCUGCUAUCAGAGGGUGAAAAUCUGCAUUGGGCCUGGAACAAUUCAGACUGAUUGUCCAAGUCUUGGAGAAAUAGCUUAGUUCUCCAGAGCUCGGUAUGCAGAGACGCGACGCAGAGCGCAGAGCGGUGCUGGCUACCUGGGACU